rnacentral:rRNA from 1 species
CAAUAGCGUAUAUUUAAGUUGCUGCAGUUAAAAAGCUCGUAGUUGGAUUUCGGGUGGGAAUGGCCGGUCCGCCGUUUCGGUGUGCACUUGCUACGCCCACCUUGCUGCCGGGGACGUGCUCUUGAGUUCACGCUCGGGACACGGAGUCGGAGAGGUUACUUUGAGUAAAUUAGAGUGUUCAAAGCAGGCCUACGCUCUGAAUACAUUAGCAUGGAAUAACACGAUAGGACUCUGGCCUAUCUUGUUGGUCUGUAGGACCGGAGUAAUGAUUAAGAGGGACAGUCGGGGGCAUUCGUAUUUCAUUGUCAGAGGUGAAAUUCUUGGAUUUAUGAAAGACGAACUACUGCGAAAGCAUUUGCCAAGGAUGUUUUCAUUAA